AAUAAGAUGACUGAAAAAAAAGUAAUAGAUUGUAGCUCUUUAAAUGGUUAAAACCUCUUAUUU
rnacentral:tRNA from 1 species